CUUUCCGCCUAUUCGAUCUCAUCGUCUCCUCGCCCUCGACGACGCGACCCUGCGAGUUCUACCGGCCCAAACCUAUUGCCAGAGACCACAACGAGUUAGCCCAGCCCCAGCACCGUCCCACCAUGCGGAAGAACUUCCGCAAGUGGAACCUCGAAGAGGCGGACGUCGCCGACCACUUCGACGACGAGAACGCCCGCCGCGUCGCUUUGGAGGAGAUCAAGUAUAUGCAGAAGCUUCGGGAGAGGAAGUUGGGUAUCCCCGCCGCCGCGGGCGCGUCGUUGGCUCCUCCCGACGGGGCCUCUCCUCGCGGGAGAGGAGGCGGUGGUGGUGGGUUAGCGGCCGCCGAGGAUGCCGACAAGGAGGACCUCGUCCUCCAGGGCACCUUCGCGCAGGAGACCGCCGUCACCAUCGAGGAUCCCAACAUGUUGAGGUAUGUGGAGAACGAGCUGUUGAAGAAGAGGAGCAAGAAGGUUGAUGUCAAAGACAAGGAGGAGAAAGACCAGGUCGAUGAGCUCUACACCGUACCGGAUCACCUCAAGGUUGGAAAGAAGAACUCGGAAGAGAGCUCUACGCAGUGGACCACCGGCAUUACUGAAGUUCAGCUGCCUAUCGAGAAUCUGGCAUUUUUUUUUUGCACUGUGUUAGAUAAUCUGGUUGACAGUCAUUCUAAGUUGUGAAUUUGUGACACAAACAGUUUACCAACUCAGAACUCAGGAAACUCAGAAAUUAGCCAUCAAAGCAAGUGGCGAUGAACCAUCCGAUGAGUUAUUUCGGUUUCAAUCCUUGUCUAUUGAGCAAGGAUGAGUUGACCGUGAUAUUGUGUGAUUACAUUAUGUCAAUUGAUGACACCGUUGCAUUAAAGAGGUCCUGGGUGAGCUUUUAUCCGUAUGAAAUAACCUUAACUCUCACUGACAUCCAAUCGUCUUUAAAUGAGAAUCAAGUCAUGUCUCGCGAAUGCUUCAACAUGGGUGUUCGCUUUCGUGCAUAUCGUCAGUACAAGAGAUUGACGUAUUACACCCACGAGAUUUUAAAGCACUUCAUGGAUCUUCGUUUCAGUGCAAGUAUAUUUGUAAGAAAAUAACUAUUUUUUAUGUGAAUAACAUAUUCUUUUCUAAAUAUGUAAAUACAAAUAUGAAUAUAUAUGAUGUUCAUGUCAUAUUGUUCAACUAUCUCAUCGACUUUAUAUUACAGAAAA